rnacentral:lncRNA from 1 species
CCCUCUAGAAGUUGUAAUGUGUAAAGAACAAUUAUGCUUACCUGUCUUUAUUAGGCUGUUUCGCCUUUUCCUGCUGUGAUGAAAACAGGGAGAGAUCUGCCAAAUCAGUACUGUAAAUCUCCAAGGUUUCAUUAUAGUUCAACACAUUUUCUCAAAUCAAGGUUAUUGAUAUAUAUGGAGACAAUCAAUCCUAAUAAUACCCAACAUUGUGCUACAACCCUCAAAUAA